rnacentral:lncRNA from 1 species
GAACAGCAAAGAGACCAGUGCAGAUAGGGUGGUAUUUCAAAGGAAAAGUAAAGAUGCUCACCUAUCUCCAAAGAGCCAAGCUCACAGGAAGAACUCCACAAGGGAAGCAUCUCCAACCACAGAUCCUUUCCUGAUGGGGGUCAGCCCUUAGAUGAGGUCUGAGAGGUGCAGCCAGGCUCCACCCCUUCUUGUCCUAUUGGUGAACUGCCCUCACCUGUGCUCCUGGGGCUGACCAGAUCCUUUCCCCCACGUGCUCCAUCAGUGGUUCAGGCCAUGGCUCAAUAGUUCCAAUACAAGUACUUUCCCUUUCUUCUACGCAUCAGCAAAACAAUAACACAGAGAUUUCAAUUUUCAUUUUGAAUCAGUGUUAGCACCUUAUUUGCUGUGUAUCUCUUUGUCCCUGAGGCUGUCUGAAGGUGUUUUGUGAUCCAGCACUGUACCAGCGUGAAAGCAAAAAGAAAACAACAAACUGCUCACAGGAGAUGGCAGGAACUCCCAGCAGGGAGGAAAGAGGUGUAAGCACACGGUGUCAGCCUCGUGCUUCUCUUCCCGGGUCCAAUGGGGACUGAAGCAAGCACAGGCAAUGCUGAUGCACUGGAGAAUUCAGCUCCCACGCACCGGAAGGUUUGGAAGCAUCAAGCUCUAUUUUAAGUGUGUGCUGUUUUGUUAGCAUAC